rnacentral:lncRNA from 1 species
UUGAAAUUGUAAGUUUCGUCAACUAUCCUCCUGAAAUUCACAAAACUUCAAUCACCCUCCUGAAAUUGCACAACGUUAAUCAAUUUACCCUCUCCAUCAAAUUUUUCUUUUAGUCAACAUGAUGUAUUGCAAAUACCUCCCCUGAAAUUUUGCACUUAUGUGCAAAAUGUCUCCUAAACUUAAAAAUUUAUAUAUUUUUUUCUUUUAGUAUCUUUUUACUUUUAAAGAGACUAUUUAGUUUGAGGGACAAAAAAACACACAUAUUUUGUAAAAAAUGGUUUCAAAACAAGGACUUAAAUUGAAAUGUAUGUAGGGACCAAAUUUAAAAAAAAAUAAAAAAUUAUAAGGAUUAAAAAUAUAUCUAACUCUAAUAUAAAACAAAGAAUGAUUGUAAAGAAGAGAUUAUUGAAAUACCUGCAUAGUUGAUAAUCUGCCAUUUGUAGCUUGAGAUAACAUGCAUGUACUCGUGAUUUUCGGAUAUUAAACCAUUAAUUGAUUUGAAUCGUCAAUCUUUGAACUCUCGAUUUUUAUUCAUGAGAAGGGAAAAAAUGAGUAAAAACCCUUCAGACUUUGGAUUCGGGGGUUGGUUACGCGAAGGGAAGGUGCUAGCACCCUAAGCGUCUACGGUAUCCCGUAGGAACCUCUUACCUAGAUUAUCUUGUGCUAAAUUCAUUUGCUUACUUGAAAAAAUUAUUACCUAAAAAUCUAAGUGAAAGAAUGGAGGGAGAAGUAGUAUGCUUUUGGUUAUUUUUAUUUGAUUUGGAAGGAUUGACUCCCUUGCCUACAUACCCUUAAAGAAAAGGGAUCAAAACCAAUGUAGUUCACCUAAAAAGUUUCUUUGGUGGGUUAGGUUGAUUUUAAGAUUUU